ACCAAUCAACCAACAAACAAGCAACCAACCAACCAACCCACAGACUCCAAAUGUUUAUCAAGACCUAGUAUUUGUCAGGCUGGGGAUACAGCAUGAGCAAAGCACAAAACCCUGUCUUCAUGAAUACCAGCUUCUGUUUCAGCUGUCUAAUGAUCACUUAUUUUUUUGUGUUUGAUGGAUUCCUAUAUGGUCUCAAACUCUCAUCUUUUCCAGUCUACUAACUGUUUAUUCCAUACAGAUAUGUAUUCCACCAUCCUACUUUGCCUAUCAUUCCUUGAGGGGAGAACCCCAGAUUCCUACUUCAUACUAUUCCUCACAGAUUUACUCUUCUCCCAUCAUCUUCCCAUCCAACAUUUUGUCUUAACCCCCUCCCAUUAAGGUCAAAAUUUGUGCUGCCCAAAUAUUCUUGGAUGUGUGACCUUCCACUGGAGCAUGGUUGACUUGUCAAAGGGUGGAGAAUAAAAAACAGCUGAACACAACUCUCACUCUUUGGGAAAAAGGUGUGAACAACACUCCUCCUCUCUGAAGACAGAAAUGCCUGAGGAUUCAGAGUGUCACUGUGCAGCAGUGAAAGCUAAGAGCAGAAGAGCUACGUUAAGAAGACAUCUUGCAGAAGUGCCAAGAGUUAGGAGCCAGACUGCAAUCCCACUUCUGCUCUUAGCCGUGGGACCUUGGGAUAGUCACUUCGUCAUUGAACUCUUGAGUUCCCUUUUCUGAAAACCAUGUUUAAAAAAUCUAUGAGAAAAACAGCAGCAGGCUUGUGUAAUAACGAGAAGAGGAGAUGAAGCUGGUGGAGCAUGAAUAUCUUGGGACAUGAAAGAAAACAACCACACUGCUCUUGGUCAUCACCCAGGUUUCAGCCUGCUGGAGACAGCCUGCUGGUAGACCAAGGCCUGAUGACAGGAAGGCAGAGGACAGCUUUUUCUCAGCUGCCUGCAUUGUCUGGUGGUCCUCAGAACCAUCCUCCCUAGUGAAUCUGCUUAUGGAAUUAGAUAGUUAACCUUUGCUCUGCAGAGAAGGGGACUGAAAUGUGGAAAAAGUCACGCUAGCAAAAUUUCUCUGUUAACCUUUUCCAUAUCGCCUUCUUUUGCUAUUUCCAGUCUGACUCAGGCAAGUACCAUCAAAAAGAGAAAAAGCCAGCCACUCAAAAGGAAAUGCUCUAAACAUCCAUCUUGUACAUAUCACCUGAAACUAAAGAAUUUACAAAAAUUGUGCCCGAGAAAGCUCAAUUGAUACUACAUUUUUUUCCUAGAUUGUGUGAAGAUGCUGGGGUUUGCUUUUUUCUAU